GACGAACGCUGGCGGCGUGCUUAACACAUGCAAGUCCCACGAAGUGGCGAACGGGUGAGUAACGCGUAAUCAACCUGCCCUUCAGAGGGGGACCGCAGUAGGAAACGACUGCUAAUACCGAAUACUGAAGGAGGGGAUUGCGUCUGAUUAGCUAGGUGGAGGGGUAACGGCCCACCAAGGCGAUGAUCAGUAGCCGGUCUGAGAGGAUGAACGGCCACAUGGGGACUGAGACACGGCCCAGACUCCUACGGGAGGCAGCAGUGGGGAAUCUUCCGCAAUGGACGAAAGUCUGACGGAGCAACGCCGCGUGAGUGAUGACGGCCUUCGGGUUGUAAAGCUCUGUUAAUCGGGACGCGGUACCGGAAUAGAAAGCCACGGCUAACUACGUGCCAGCAGCCGCGGUAAUUC
rnacentral:rRNA from 1 species